UACGUAGGUGGCAAGCGUUGUCCGGAAUUAUUGGGCGUAAAGCGCGCGCAGGUGGUUUCUUAAGUCUGAUGUGAAAGCCCACGGCUCAACCGUGGAGGGUCAUUGGAAACUGGGGAACUUGAGUGCAGAAGAGGAAAGUGGAAUUCCAAGUGUAGCGGUGAAAUGCGUAGAGAUUUGGAGGAACACCAGUGGCGAAGGCGACUUUCUGGUCUGUAACUGACACUGAGGAGCGAAAGCGUGGGGAGCGAACAGG
rnacentral:rRNA from 1 species